AGUACUCUCUGCUCUAAUCAAGAAGGAAGGGGCUUCAGCUUCAAAUGUCAAUGCUGUAAACAUGUUAAAUCUGGAAAAUAUUUUCUAAGCAAGCAACCAUGUGUAAAAUUUACCGAACUUGUCAUGAAAGGGCUGCAGCUGCAAACCUGCAAACUUCUCACUUCCAUGAAGACUCCAGAUGCUGAGACAGGGAAGAGAGGUUUCAGCUUGGCUCCCCAGCUGUUGCACCUUAGAGCUUUGCAUGCCGCCAUCUUCUCAGCGUUUCACCAGAGCUGAGUCAAAGUGGUAAAACAGUUUGUGGUGUAUUCCCUUUUCAGUAAAAGCGCCUCUGGAAAAGAGAGUGUUUUCACACCAAGAUGUUGCACGUUCAGCUGUUUUUCCUAUAGAAGAGAAACUAUGCUAAUAGAAUAGGUCUUUGUUCCUGGUGUUUCUUUCCGCGAGUUGACAACAGCAACAUGAAAAGAAACAGUAGAAGUGGGGAAGCAGAGGGAUAGCAUCCUUCGGCUAGUAUGCUGUAUUCUCUUCACCAUACCACUUUACAGGGAUCACCUGUGUAUUUGCUGGUGGCUGUCUAAUAAAAGAUGUGGGUGUGGAGGAAAUAGAUUUUUAAUCAUCUGAAUGUUAUAGAGUUCUGCUUAGGUAUGAAGAGAAUCUAUUAUCUUGAUUAGAUAUAAAUUCAAAACAAAUGUUGAAUACCAGCUGUUGUAUUCUCAACAUUUUAGAAUUCAACUUUAAAUGAAAUCUUCAAAAAAGCAAGUCCAAGAAAAACCUCAUAGUAAUAUUUGUGUCUCAUUCACUACCAUCACCAAACGAUAUUGAUUGCAGUACCUGAAGAAAUCAUUAGGCACCAUAUGACACUGAUGUCUAUUUAGAGUGUUUUUUAUUCUGUAUUGGAAAAUAAAGCACAUUACCUAAAUGAUUCAAAUGGCAAGAAAAAAAUUUAUCCCUAAAAGCCAUCUGUGAAUUAGCAUAUGGGCUUCUGGAACCCAACAUCUUGAUUCUAUAUGUGAGUCAGGAGGAAAAAAAACAACAAAAAAAGAAUGAAAGGAAGAAAAUGGAAUCCUGUCUCUAAAUAUAAAACAAGAAAUGGUUUUAUUCAAUCAAGGAGAUUUCAAAGAAAGUAUUUAUGAGAAUGAAGUAGUCAGCUGGACCUCACAGAGGCUUCACCCAGGGCUGAUCCCAAGAACAGUCACAAAACUUUAAGUUAGCCAAGACCCAGACUCUGCUGAUGGAAAAAUAUGUUCCUGCAUCCUUGCUCUGUAAAUCCAGGCAUGUUCUAUAUGCAAUAUAGGCUUUGUAGUUUUGGCAGAUCUACCUAUCUUGAACUGGAAAACAGUUCAGUGAAGCAUGAAGAAAGAAAGAAAGAAAGAACAUCCCAGUGGGAUAGCAUCAAGUGAAGUCCCGGGGCCUCUCCAGUGAUAAUAGCAGACAUCAGUGCCAGUGCAGGCUCUGGCUGGGAAACAACUGACCGCUGCGGAAUGCCUGUCGAUGGAGGAGCAGCAUUAGAGGGAGGUAUCUAGCUGAGGGAUUCAGAUGGUGAACCAAUUGCCAGAGGUCACACAAGUCACUGGUCAAGUUCCUUUGCAGACAGGUGUGGUCAUAUGAUGAAGUUUUGGUCAACAAGAUGUAUGCAAAAGAAUCCUUAUGUGCACGAGGGCUCACUCAUCUUCAAUCCUUCCUCCUUCCUACCAUUUAGAACUUGGAUAAGAUGGCAUGAGCUCUAAGGCUAUCAUGGACCAUUAAAUGACCUUAACACUGGAAGCCACAUACUUAGGAUGGUGGAGCAGAAAAACAGAAACCAGGACUCUGAUUAUAGUAUGAAACGGUAUCAUCGGGUCAACCUUGGAAGUCCCACCUCCUUUUACAUGAGCAAGAAAUACACUUGUAUUUUGUUUAAGCCAGUGUUGUUUUGGGGUUUUAAUACAAAUCUUCCCAAUCACUUCUCCCAGUGAAGGCUUCUGUGAGGACAAGGCAGGAGCAGAGAAUGUCUCAUGCCUGAUGGUCCAGGGCACCCCUCCAACCCAGAAAAUAGAGCCAGGAACUGUGCGAGAAAUGGAAGUCAGAGGGGAGCUGAAGAUAAGUUACUGAAAUGAGAGUGCCAUGGCAGAGAUCAACAGCUGCCUACAACAGAUGCUGUGCUUUUCACAAAAGACAUCUUUUCUUCUUACUUUUGUCUGCACGUUAGAAGAACAAAUUGCCAAUUUUGUUGAUGCAAGCACAUUCUCAAACAACUUGAAACUACUACCAAACACCAACAGCCAUGUGAGAAAGAGAUGAAAUGCAGUUUGUGGAAAGUAAAUUCUUGAUUAUGUUGGAAUUAAAGGGUAUAUACUUUGCUGCACUUUCAAGAACUACAGGUAAGAGACACAACAGUGUUUUACUCCUAUGUCAAACAAAAAGCUGGCAAUUUACUGUGCAAAAUAAACAGAUGGAGAAAAAUAGAAAGGUG
rnacentral:lncRNA from 1 species